rnacentral:ncRNA from 2 species
CUGGAAAAAAGGCGGUCUGGUACAGAAAAAUGAAAGACCGUCAGGGAAGUGGGGUGAAAAUCCCCCGCAGCUGCCUCUACUGUAAAAACGGGGACAAAGGACAAAAAAGUCACUGCGAAAGCGGGAAGACGUCCGGAGGAUGAACCAUAAGCCAGGAGACCGGCCGGAUGUCUGACAGAGGA